AGUGAACGCUGGCGGUAUGCCUAACACAUGCAAGUCGAACGGCAACACAGUAAGCUCUUUCCCUUACGGGUGGCGACUGACGGACGAGUAACACAUACAUCGCAUUCUACUUUUACUUGGGUAACUUCGUAGAGACACAUCUGCUACUACCGCAUAUAUUCUACGGCAGGAAUCAAUAGUUCUACGCGCUUUUCCCGAUACAUUUAGACGAUUUCGGAUUAGCUAGUUUGCGGGGUAAAGGCCCACCAAGGCGACGAUCCGUAGCUGGUCUGAGAGGAUGAUCAGCCACACUGGAACUGAGACACGGUCCAGACUCCUACGGGAGGCAGCAGUGGGGAAUAUUCGACAAUGGGCGCAAGCCUGAUCCAGCAAUACCGCGUGGGUGAUGAAGGUCUUCGGGUUGUAAAGCCCUGUUAUUAGGAAAGAACAGAUGUAGAUGAAUACCUCGACGUCCUGACGGUACCCAAAGAAUAAGCACCGGCUAACUUCGUG
rnacentral:rRNA from 1 species